GGCCUACGGGUGGCUGCAGUGGGGAAUAUUGGACAAUGGGCGAAAGCCUGAUCCAGCAAUGCCGCGUGAGUGAUGAAGGCCCUAGGGUUGUAAAGCUCUUUUACCCGGGAUGAUAAUGACAGUACCGGGAGAAUAAGCUCCGGCUAACUCCGUGCCAGCAGCCGCGGUAAUACGGAGGGAGCUAGCGUUGUUCGGAAUUACUGGGCGUAAAGCGCGCGUAGGCGGUUUUUUAAGUCAGAGGUGAAAGCCCGGGGCUCAACCCCGGAAUAGCCUUUGAAACUGGAAAACUUGAAUCUUGGAGAGGUCAGUGGAAUUCCGAGUGUAGAGGUGAAAUUCGUAGAUAUUCGGAAGAACACCAGUGGCGAAGGCGACUGACUGGACAAGUAUUGACGCUGAGGUGCGAAAGCGUGGGGAGCAAACAGGAUUAGAUACCCGUGUAGUCG
rnacentral:rRNA from 1 species